CCUACGGGAGGCAGCAGUGAGGAAUAUUGGUCAAUGGGCGCGAGCCUGAACCAGCCAAGUAGCGUGAAGGAUGACUGCCCUACGGGUUGUAAACUUCUUUUAUAAAGGAAUAAAGUGAGGCACGUGUGCCUUGUUGUGUGGACUUUAUGAAUAAGGAUCGGCUAACUCCGUGCCAGCAGCCGCGGUAAUACGGAGGAGCCGAGCGUUAGCCGGAUUUAGUGGGGUUAAAGGGAGCGUAGAUGGGUUGAUAAGUCAGUGGUGAAAGUUUGCGGCUCAACCGUAAAAUUGCAAUUGAUACUGGCAGGCUUGAGUACAGGUGAGGUAGGCGGAAUUCGUGGUGUAGCGGUGAAAUGCGUAGAUAUCACGAAGAACUCCGAUUGCGAAGGCAGCUUACUAAACUGCCACUGACAUUGAUGCUCGAAAGUGUGGGUAUCAAACAGGAUUAGAUACCCCAGUAGUC
rnacentral:rRNA from 1 species